rnacentral:rRNA from 1 species
AGCGAACGCUGGCGGCAGGCCUAACACAUGCAAGUCGAACGAACCUUUCGGGGUUAGUGGCGGACGGGUGAGUAACACGUGGGAACGUGCCUUUAGGUUCGGAAUAACUCAGGGAAAAUUGUGCUAAUACCGAAUGUGCCCUUCGGGGGAAAGAUUAAUCGCCUUUAGAGCGGCCCGCGUCUGAUUAGCUAGUUGGUUGAGGUAAUGGCUCACCAAGGCGACGAUCAGUAGCUGGUCUGAGAGGAUGAUCAGCCACAUUGGGACUGAGACACGGCCCAAACUCCUACGGGAAGCAGCAGUGGGGAAUCUUGCGCAAUGGGCGAAAGCCUGACGCAGCCAUGCCGCGUGAAUGAUGAAGGUCUUAGGAUUGUAAAAUUCUUUCACCGGGGACGAUAAUGACGUUAACCGGAGAAGAAGCCCCGGCUAACUUCGUG